rnacentral:tRNA from 1 species
GGGAAUGUAACUUAAGUAGAGCCUUGUAUUUUUGGUAAGUGAUUUGGGUUCAAAUCCCAACAUUCUCU